rnacentral:rRNA from 1 species
UACGUAGGGUGCGAGCGUUUAAUCGGAAUUACUGGGCGUAAAGCGUGCGCAGGCGGUUUUGUAAGCCAGAUGUGAAAUCCCCGGGCUUAACCUGGGAAUGGCAUUUGGGACUGCAAGGCUGGAGUGCGGCAGAGGAGACUGGAAUUCCUGGUGUAGCAGUGAAAUGCGUAGAUAUCAGGAGGAAUACCGAUGGCGAAGGCAGGUCUCUGGGCUGACACUG